GUGGGGAAUAUUGGGCAAUGGGCGGAAGCCUGACCCAGCGACGCCGCGUGGGGGAAGAAGUCUUUCGGGAUGUAAACCCUUGUUGUACGGGACGAAGGAAGUGACGGUAUCGUACGAGGAAGCCCCGGCAAACUACGUGCCAGCAGCCGCGGUAAUACGUAGGGGGCGAGCGUUGUCCGGAAUCACUGGGCGUAAAGCGCACGUAGGCGGGCUGUCAAGUCGGCCGUGAAAGGCACGGGCUCAACCUGUGCAUGUCGGUCGAUACUGGCGGUCUGGAGUAUGGGAGAGGGAACUGGAAUUCCCGGUGUAGCGGUGAAAUGCUUAGAUAUAACACAGAACUCCGAUUGCGAAGGCAGCUUACUGGGAUGCAACUGACACUGAUGCACGAAAGCGUGGGUAUCAAACAGGAUUAGAAACCCCAGUAGUCC
rnacentral:rRNA from 1 species